GUUAUUUAAACAUUUUAAAUUGGAUGAAGAAAAAAAAUGACGCAAAUAAAACGUAGGACAUUUUAAUUAAAGAGACUAAUAUAGAGAUUUAUCUACUUAGCUGUGAUUAAAUCAUCUCCAUUUAACGCUCUACCUCUUCUAUUAAUUAUGCUUCGUUAAACUAUGAUUACAGAGGAUGGGUUUUUGGAUAAAAUGACAUUCUGACAAAUAUAGAUAGACAGAUAUAUAUAGAUAUAGAUAGACAAAUAUAUAGAUUCUUACGACAGUAGUUAUGAAUGAACAGUAGUUAUUGUAUCAAUUCCUUUCUUUAGAAGCUUCAUUCAAUUCGCCAGACAAGAAAAGACAAUUCGCCAGAAUAUGGAUUCAGUGCAGUUAUAGCUAUAGGAUUUCAAUCUAGUUGACAGACUUGCUUUACGUAGAGAAUAUCUGUCUCUUGUUCUACCUUAUCACGAUUCUCUUCUCAUCUUAUACGCUUUGUCGAGCAAAGUAAUAUUGGCAUAUAUCUCGGCUCUGGUUACAAUCAUUAGUUUCCGCCUAAACGGUUAGAAUCACAUAGCUCGCGUUCUAUUCUCGUUUAUUCAACAUUCAGGCUGUAUGGUCAUGCGACGAGUUUCAUGUUAAUUCCGACCGAUUACAAUACCUUUCUCUCGUUUACAAGGAACGACGAGACUGACAGUUGCGUGAUUUCCAAUGCAAAAGCCGCGAUAUCUGCACGAUAACCUAACCUCAACCGAUUUUGUUGUACUAUUCUUAUGUGGACUUCGUUUGUACCACUUUCGUAACAAAAAUAGAAUACGUAGAAACAGCAUUCCGUUAUGCGAUAUUGUCGAUUCCUAACAUCCGAAAAAUAAGAGAUAAUUUUUUCCCUACAGUUGUACAUUUGUGUGAAAAAUUAUGAACGUAAAAUUGUUUGGUGCAUGCACAGUCCCCCCCCUCCCCCCUCCGCUCCCCUGCAUUUGCGUGGACAUUCUAGAAAGAUUCACUUUUCCACGGUGAAACUGUUUCGUGUUAAGUAUUACAUCUGACGUAUAAGCACACGUAUGUACGAGCCUUGGUUUUAAAUGUCUUAUAGUAGACACCGAAAAGAUUAUUCAGUUGGAUAUCUGACUCAACAUUAAUAUUUUACUAGGAGUAACAUGUUAAGAACACGUUGGUGGAUGGCAUGGGAGAUGAUGAAUGAAGACAUACUGAUACAUAAAAUAGUAGUCAGAACGUAUUUUGGAGCUUGAGGACAGCAACAGCUGGUGAUACUGUCAUACACCUCCAUUUAUAAACUUUCGAAAAUCGAUGUGACCUUCAAACUUUAGAGUAUUCUGUUUCACAGCACAAAAUGUUUCCGAAACGUACGUUUAUUGUUACAAUAAACUUGACUAAUGGCUUUGAAAUACUAUCCUUGAAAAAACAAUGGGGAAAUUGGAGCAAAAAAAAGAAGGAAACAAACAAAGACCUUGUUGGUUCGUAACAAUAAAAUAUGCUACAGGAAAAACUUUUUCCAACGGAUUGAGAUGAGACAAGCUUUAAAAGCUAUUACGCGAAUCGAGCGUUUGUCUACAAGAGCGCAUUUUCGGUGGAUAUAUAGAUAUACAUGUAUAUGUGACGAAAUAUACUAAAGCAAUAUUGACCCUUUGUCGCUGAAAGUAUCAAACUACAAAACUUCCUUUCAAAUUUUCAGAAUAAGGAAAUCAGGAUCAUGAUAAAUAUUUGGAACAUAAUUAAAAAUAAUAUAUCUUCUCUAUAAGAUAAUGAAUACAUUGGUUCAUUUAAUUUGUAUGGAUAUUCAAAAGCUUUUGUGAAAUAAAACGUCAAGAUUAUAGAGUAUAAAAUUCAUAGCUAUGAAAUAACUAAAACUCUGAUGUAUUAUUAAAAAUAUACGUUAGGUUGUAUGUAGUGAUA